CACUACAACAUGAGGAACUGUAUUAAAGGGUCGCAGCAUUAGGAAGGUGUAGAACUACUGCUCUAACCACUGAGGAAACUGG